UAAGGAAUAUUGCGCAAUGGGGGAAACCCUGACGCAGCAACGCCGCGUGGAGGAUGACACUUUUCGGAGCGUAAACUCCUUUUAUCAGGAAAGAAUAAUGACGGUACCUGAUGAAUAAGCACCGGCUAACUCCGUGCCAGCAGCCGCGGUAAUACGGGGGUUGCAAGCGUUACUCGGAAUCACUGGGCGUAAAGGACGCGUAGGCGGAUUAUCAAGUCUUUUGUGAAAUCUAGUGGCUUAACCACUAAACUGCUUAGGAAACUGAUAGUCGAGAGUAGGGGAGAGGUAGAUGGAAUUCUUGGUGUAGGGGUAAAAUCCGUAGAGAUCAAGAAGAAUACCCAUUGCGAAAGCGAUCUGCUGGAACCUAACUGACGCUGAGGCGUGAAAGCGUGGGUAGCAAACAGG
rnacentral:rRNA from 1 species